AUGACCAAGGCAGCGCCUAUGCCGCCCCGGCGGCGGCGAUGGCCGGCGUACUUGCUCGCCGCCGCGGUCGUCCUUGCCGUCGUCACCGCCGCGCGGGCGCAGGAUUACAAUAAUGGCGAUGACGAGGAGGAGAAGCCUAAGCCGCAGCUCAAGGCGCAGGAGGCGUGCAACGGCGCGUUCCUGUCGUACACGUUCAUUGAGCGCACCAAGGAGUUCCCGCACCUCAAGAAUGCGACGGCGCAGGCGUACGCGUUCAAGGCGCAGGCCACGGUGCUCAACACCAUGACGACGGACCUCAAGGCGUGGCAGAUGUUCGUCGGGUUCCAGCAGCAGGAGAUCCUCGUGUCCGUCAGCGGCGCCGUGCUCCUCGACGGCACCGACUUCCCCGCCAACGUCUCCGGCGGCGUUACAUUUGCGGGAUACCCGAUGGCCGACCUCCUCAACUCCAUCGACACCGCCGGCGACCUGACGCAGAUACAGGUCCAGAUGGACAUCACCGGCACGCAGUUCGGCGUCAAGCCCCCCGGCAAGCCCAUGCCCAAGACCAUCAAGCUCACCAAUCCCGGCUACCGAUGCCCCGCGCCCACCCACAAAGAUAGCGUGAUGUACGUGUGCUGCGUCAAGGACCCCAAGUUCAAGGCGAAGAAGGCCAACAGCACGCGGUACCUGCCACGGCAGAAGGCCGACCUGACCAUGGCGUACGACGUGCUGACGUCGUACGGCAACAAGUACGUCGCGCAGGUGACCAUCGACAACUGGAGCCCCAUGAGCCGGCUGGACAACUGGAACCUCACCUGGGAGUGGAAGCGCGGCGAGUUCAUCGAGAAGAUGCGCGGCGCCUACACGCUGCUCAAGGAAGGCCCCGCCUGCGUCUACAGCCCGGCGGCGAGCUACUACAAGGACUUCGACUUCACGCCCGUGUACAACUGCGAGAAGCGGCCGGUCAUCGUCGACCUCCCGCCGGACCGGGAGAAGGACAACGACGUGGGCAACCUGCCCUUCUGCUGCAAGAACGGCACGCUGCUGCCGCCCAUCAUGGACGAGUCCAAGUCGCGGGCCAUCUUCCAGCUCACGGUGUUCAAGAUGCCGCCGGACCUCAACCGGACGGCGCUCUACCCGCCGUCCAACUGGAAGAUCACCGGGAAGCUCAACCCGCACUACGUGUGCCGGCAGCCCAUCCGGGUGAGCCCCAUGGAGUUCCCAGACGGGUCGGGGCUCAUGUCGACGACCCCCGCCGUGGCGUCGUGGCAGGUGGCGUGCCACAUGACCCGCCCCAAGAAGCGCGCCUCCAAGUGCUGCGUCUCCUUCUCGGCCUACUACAACGACUCCACGGUGCCCUGCAACACCUGCGCCUGCGGCUGCGGCAACGACACCGCCACGUGCGACGCGGACGCCCACCCCAUCCUGCUGCCGUCGGAGGCCAUGCUCGUGCCCUUCGACAACCGCACGGCCAAGGCCCGGGCGUGGGCCAAGAUCAAGCACUGGCGCGUGCCCAACCCGAUGCCCUGCGGCGACAACUGCGGCGUCAGCAUCAACUGGCACGUCAUGAACAACUACAAGUCCGGCUGGUCGGUGCGCAUGACCAUCUUCAACUGGCAGGACUACACGUUCAAGAACUGGUUCGCCGCAGUCAAAAUGGGCCAGCACUAUGGCGGCUACGAGAACGUCUACUCCUUCAAUGGUACCAGGCUGGACGCGCCCUUCAACAACACCAUAUUCAUGCAGGCCCUGCCGGGGCUUGAAUUCCUUGAGCCCAUCACCGACGGCAGAACGUCGGCGUACCCGAGGCUGCCCGGGAAGCAGCAGUCCGUCAUCUCGUUCAAGAAGAAGGACGUGCCAAACAUCAACAUCCCCAAAGGAGGAGGCUUCCCCAAGCGGGUGUACUUCGACGGCGAGGAGUGCGCGCUCCCCCACAAGUUACCGUCGAGUGCACGCCGGCGGGCAGGGGCUCCCAGCCUCUUGCAGGCUGUCACCGGGGUGGUUCUUGUGGUGAUUGUUGCUCUUGUGGACUCCUCGUGCUUAUGA
rnacentral:rRNA from 1 species